GACGAACGCUGGCGGCGCGCUUAACACAUGCAAGUCGAACGGAAAGGCCUGCUUUCCCUUGUGGAUUGCGGGUACUCGAGUGGCGAACGGGUGAGUAACACGUGAGUGAUCUGCCCCCAACUUGGGUAUAAGCCUGGGAAACUGGGUCUAAUUCCCGAUAGGACUGCAGGGUGGUGCCUGUGGUGGAAAACGAUUUUCUAGUGGUUGGGGAUGAGCUCGCGGCCUAUCAGCUUGUUGGUGGGGUAAUGGCCUACCAAGGCGGCGACGGGUAGCCGGCCUGAGAGGGUGGACGGCCACAUUGGGACUGAGAUACGGCCCAGACUGCUACGGGAGGCAGGAGUGGGGAAUAUUGCACAAUGGGCGGAAGCCUGAUGCAGCGACUCGGCGUGGGGGAUGACGGCCUUCGGGUUGUAAACUCCUUUCGACCGCGAGGAAGCCACCUGGUUGGAAGGGUGGUGACGGUAGUGGUAGAAGAAGCACCGGCUAACUACGUG
rnacentral:rRNA from 1 species